ACUUUUGUUUUAAAGCACGAUCGUUUCUUUAAGACCGUGUUCAUGUUGUUGUUUUUAACUUGCUCUUUGGGACUUUUUUUUGGUUUAAGAGCAUUUAGGCAAAGUAUAUACAUAUAUUUAUAGGGUUGGAAGCUACGUUGCACGGAAGCUUCAUCGGACGUCCGCUUCCCGCUUCGGAACCGGAAUCGGAAUCGGAACCUUGUGGAAGCUUGUGGAAUCUCGCUUCUAAAACGUUUCUAAAAUAUUCUCUUUAAAAACCUGUUGGAAGCUUAUGAUUCCGUUUUGGAAUCACGCUUCCAUUUUUAAAAAAAAAUACAAUGUAUAUCAAUAAAAUAUAAAACCAUAGUUUUAAUCUAUAUAAAAUAAAAAAAAAUUAAUAGUAAUGAAUAUUGAAUUAUAAAUAUAUAAAUAUCAAAAAUAAUACUAUAAAUUAUCUUUAUGCGUUGAGAUUUUUUAUUAAAGAUAUAGCACAUAUUGAAACAUAUUGUGUCAAUUAUUUAUGAAGUAUUAAAAAUAAUUAAUAUAAUAUUUUUUGUAAACAUAAUUUAUGUGUAUUUUUACAGUUUUAAUAUAAAAUCAUUUCAAAAUUAUUAUAAAUGAAUAAAUGUUUUAUUUCAAAUUUAAAUCAUAUAAUUUUAGUUCUAAUUUUUUUAAAAAUUUACAUAUAUUUAUAUAUGGAUAUACGCUUCCAACACGUACCCGCUUCCUAAUAUUUUAAAAAAUCUCGCUUCUGCGCUUCCUUACGCUUCCGCUUCCACGUAUCCGCUUCCGUUUCCGUGUAACAUAGGUUGGAAGAAUACUCGGUAAUUUUGUAAACUCCGACGGCCGACCUAUAACAAUAUACCAGUCAAUAAAUAUUAUAAUAUUGGGGUGAAUAAUUUUAAUAACAGAUUAUAAAACAAAAAAAAGAGAGAAAAGAGAUGCAGACAGAUUUUCUUCGUUGUUUCCAGGCUGUACAAAGGCAAUUUCAUCCAA
rnacentral:lncRNA from 1 species